ACAGGCGAAGCCGAAAACCUGCAUAACAGAGUAGGCA
rnacentral:ncRNA from 1 species